rnacentral:rRNA from 1 species
AGUGAACGCUGGCGGUAGGCCUAACACAUGCAAGUCGAACGGCAGCACAGUAAGAGCUUGCUCUUACGGGUGGCGAGUGGCGGACGGGUGAGGAAUACAUCGGAAUCUACUUUUUCGUGGGGGAUAACGUAGGGAAACUUACGCUAAUACCGCAUACGACCUACGGGUGAAAGCAGGGGAUCUUCGGACCUUGCGCGAUUGAAUGAGCCGAUGUCGGAUUAGCUAGUUGGCGGGGUAAAGGCCCACCAAGGCGACGAUCCGUAGCUGGUCUGAGAGGAUGUUAGCCCAACUUGAAACUGAGACACGGUCAAACCCCUUACGGGGGGAAGAGGUGGGGAAAAUGGGACAAGGGGGGAAAGCCUGUCCCAGCAUUCCCGCUGGGGGGAAGAAGCCUUCCGGGUGGAAAAGCCCUUUUGUUGGGAAAGAAAGGCACCAGGUUAAUACCCGGCUGUCCUGAGGGAACCAAAAGAAGAGCACCGGCUAACUUCGUG